GGUUGGGUCUGGGUCGACUGUGCAGGGAGGGGCUCGGGCUGGGACGGUGGCUGGGCUCGGCAGGGACGGUGGCUGGGCUUGGGGCUACUGCUACCGCACCAAUUAUUCCUGAAAACAUGGGAAUUUUUCCGCACCUCAAGUUGAUGACUUGGACCAUGGAAAAUUGCAGCUCAGACCAAGCAAAGAGAACGGCGGUCAUCACACUAAAGGCUUUUGGGCCAUAGCAAUAUCUAAUAGAGCAAAAAUGUGCGUCUGUAUAAAGGAAGUUGAAGAGCUAUGGAAGCAGGUCUAUAUUGAGAUGCAUUUCUUUGGCGCAAUACUAGACAACAUUGACAGUUGAAGUUUUUAGAAUAAAAAUAUAUUUCACUAACAUUGGAUACAUUUCUUGUUUAAUAUUUAGUGAUGAUAAAAUUUGAUUGUAGUAUAAACUAUCAUGUAAUAUGAUUUUGUAAGCCGAGUAGACUAAAUACUGAAAUUA